CUCUUUUUCUCAGUUGACUUGCACAUCAAUUUUUAGAUGUCCAAUUGUCCAUACAAUUCUGUUAAGCUGCAAAUUCAUUCAGAUGCAGAAGUUUUCAUUAACCUAAAUGGUGCACUUACAGUACUUACUAAAUUUAGAGUUACAGAGUUAAAACAUCUAGUACCCAGGUUGUUAUGUAAACAAGGUCUUCUCUAGAUCCUAGGAUUGGUGUUCUGGAGAACUCACAAAUGCCCCCUGUUGGAGGAUGACUGUAUGACGGCCAGUCCAUAUUUCCAUGUACAGGAACAGACUGUACAAUCAUGUCAUGUAAAUGUUUUACAUCAAGGCACAAGACACAGCCAUCGAGAGGGAGCCUUGGAUAGGCUGAACUUUAAUGUUGUCCCCGAGGUAUGGCAGCACUGCUGGGACAUGGAGAGAGGGGUGGGGGGGGUAUGAUACAUAAGUACUCUGCCGAAGAAAGGAAAUAAACACUGCUUUUCUAUUUUAUUGAAAAUCAAUGUCAUAUCAAAAAAUAAGAUAUAUUUUCCUCCAUUGUUUUGAAGGGCGGUGGGGCUAGUCGUCUGAUGUACAUAGCAAAAGUAAUGUUUUUUUUUCUCGUCUUUUUGCAUGAUUGCCAAAAGCAAAAUGGGAGGGUUAUAACAUCAAGAGAGCAUAUGAGAGUCAUGUCGUGGCCUGGGAGCCGCUCUUCUGUUGACGGGGAGGAUGAAUGUGGUGGCUGUCAUAUUUUUUUUUCUGCCUAGAUUGGACAUGAUGUCAUCUUGUUGAGAAGGGUCAACCUCUGCGGUAGAA